GGUCAAGCUCCAGAGGUUACUGGAUCACCAACUGAAAAGGCUAUACUCUCUUGGGGGUUGCAGUGAAACAAGAUCGAAAUCCUCCAUUCUUCAAGUCUUCCCAUUCAAUUCAGAGAAAAAGCGAGGCGGGGUUGCUGUGCAA